rnacentral:tmRNA from 1 species
GGGGACGACAGGCUUCGACGCGGUCAUCCGUGCGAAAGGUUGCAGGUCGAGGAUGUCGAUGGCCUCGUAAAAAAUCGGCAAAAAACCAAUACGUGCGGACCAUGAGUUCGCCCUCGCUGCCUAGAUAACUUCUAGGUAAUGAGAGUCGGUCCACCCUCGGCCCGUGGGGUGGGUAGCUGGCUUCAGAAACGGGCUUACCUGCGAGGGAUGUUCCGACCUCAAGGGGACAUUCAAUCGGGACUGGUCUUUCGAGUCGUUUGUUGGCGUGAUGCCCGGAAGAUGAGAUCAAUACGCCAGCUAAGCCUGUAGACGCUUUUCGAAACGCGGCUGCGGACGCGGGUUCAAUUCCCGCCGUCUCCACUA